rnacentral:snRNA from 1 species
ACAGCCAUCCUGGUCUCCGGACUGGGAUGGCUGGACUCCCCUGGGUCCUGACCUUGGCCCUUACUGGGUAGGAUGAGGGUUCCGGGAGCCGACUAUUAAAUGCAUUUUUAGAACAGGGAGCCAAAUAAGGGGCUCGCUCCAUCUGCUCCACACAUCGAUCCGGUAUUGCAGUGCCUCCGGGAACGGUGCCCUCUCU